UUCCCAGCCACCAGCUUCAGCCUUUGCCCCAGCAUCUCAGUUGCAGGAGGUGCAGGCUGACGAUGGACCUGGACAUGCGAAGACUCCAAUGCCCCAGCAGCAGUCCCCUCUUUUAGCCUGGUGAAUGCCGGUUUUUUGGAUGCUUACCACACAGUUCAGGCUGUGAUAAGGAUUAUUAUUUUUUUUUUUUCUCCUGACUUUUGGAAGGAGUAUGACAAACGAAUCCUUAACUUCUGUUUGCUGUGACUCUGUGCUGAGGCUGUUGAAUCACACUAGUACCAUUCUCUGCUCUACAGCACUUCAAGGCAUAGCAGAAGUCAACAUUGAUCUUCAGAUACACGGGCAGAUCACACUUCUGUAGUCCAUAUCAGCCUCAGCACAACUAGAAAUACACCUCCAUAUUUCUGUAAGUGACCUGUCUCUCAACCCAUCUAUGGAAGAGGACGUCUUUGUCUCUGGAGCAUUCUUGAAUAUCAAGAUUUUCCACAACAUUUCCGUGGCUGAACUGUACAUCAAUGUUUCUGACAAAAAACAAAUGUUAAGCUGACAGUCCAUUGGUAUUUGUGUUAGAACUGGUC